CUGACGAUCGAUAUUUAAAGGGUAUUGUUUUUGUGCUAAAUAUUUCAUAAAAACGUUAUUUAAUACUUUGUGGAUUAUUAAUUUAGUUGAUAAUCACUGGAAGUAAAAUGGAUGCUAAUUUGAGAGAUCAAGAUCUUCGUAUAAAACAGUUAAUAAAAGAAAAUCUACAAAGAAAAAAAUGUCUGCCAAGCCGUAGCCGAAGCCGAUCUCCAAAUAUAUUUGGCGAUAGUGAGACCCAGUGUCCAGAUGAUUUACCCAGCGUCGUCGCAACAAAGAAAAAAAAACGAGGAUAAAGUAAAAGAAAAUUUACUGAAAGAAGAAACAAACUGUUCUAAAUGCUUAAUUUAUGGAGAAGAGGAUAAAAGAAAUGAGUAUUUCGGACUGUUAGUGGCUCAAGAAUUUAAAUAUAUACGGCCAUGUGUGCGAACGAGGUGUUAUGAAGAAAUUUUAAAGUAUCUACGGGAAGCAAAAGGCCAACAUGUUGAUCAACUGCAACAUGAAAACACUGAAAAUUAAUUACUUUCAUUUUAUUAUAUAUAGAUUUUUAAAAUUUCCUGAAAUAUUAUUAGUUAACGUUUUAUUUAAUAUUGUAGAAUUGAUCAAUACAAUUUAUAAAAAUAA